UGGGGAAUUUUGCACAAUGGAGGAAACUCUGAUGCAGCGACGCCGCGUGAACGAAGAAGGUCUUCGGAUUGUAAAGUUCUGUCCUGGGUGAAGAUAAUGACGGUAACUCAGGAGGAAGCCCCGGCUAACUACGUGCCAGCAGCCGCGGUAAUACGUAGGGGGCGAGCGUUGUUCGGAAUUAUUGGGCGUAAAGGGUACGUAGGCGGUUUGUUAAGUUUGGCGUUAAAUAACGGGGCUCAACCCCGUUCAGCGUUGAAAACUGGCAAACUUGAGUAGUAGAGGGGACAGUGGAAGUCCUAGUGUAGCGGUGAAAUGCGUAGAGAUUAGGAAGAAAACCGGUGGCGAAGGCGACUGUCUGGAUACAUACUGACGCUCAGGUACGAAAGCGUGGGGAGCAAACAGG
rnacentral:rRNA from 1 species